UACGUAGGGAGCAAGCGUUGUCCGGAAUCAUUGGGCGUAAAGCGCGCGUAGGUGGCUUCGUAAGUCCGCUGUGAAAGUCCAGGGCUCAACCCUGGAAUGCCGGUGGAAACUGUCAGGCUCGAGUCCGGAAGAGGCGAGUGGAAUUCCUGGUGUAGCGGUGAAAUGGCGCAGAUAUCAGGAGGAACACCGGUGGCGAAGGCGGGUCUCUGGGCAGUAACUGACGCUGAGGAGCGAAAGUGUGGGGAGCGAACAGG
rnacentral:rRNA from 1 species